rnacentral:rRNA from 1 species
UACAGAGGGCGCGAGCGUUGUCCGGAAUCACUGGGCGUAAAGGGCGCGUAGGUGGCCACCAUAAGGCCGCGGUGAAAGUUCGGGGCUCAACCCCGGAUCGGCCGCGGCGACUGUGGGGCUGGGGUACUGUAGAGGCAGGUGGAAUUCCGGGUGUAGCGGUGGAAUGCGUAGAGAUCCGGAAGAACACCAGUGGCGAAGGCGGCCUGCUGGGCCAUAACUGACGCUGAGAAGCGAAAGCAUGGGGAGCGAACAGG